rnacentral:misc_RNA from 1 species
GGACUUUUCAACAAGAGGAAGUACAAUUUUCACAGUAGAAAAUGACAACGCAAUAAGGUUAAGAAGAUUCUUAAAACGACACCUCGAAACCUUGAUAUAACGCUUCCCCGUGUUUUCUGCUGGACUUGGAAGGUUAAACGCCGGCGACGACACCGAUUUAGAGGACGCUUUAUAGCUCAGGGUGGUAGCGCCGCGUGGCACACGGACAAGACCGCGCGCUACGACAGAACCGCGACGACGCCGGCGUCGAAGGUGGUGGCUCGAGUGGCUCGGGGGGUGAUUAUGAACGGGUUGCCCCGCGGCCACCCUGCAUCCGCAACACCUAGCAUCUACGAGAAAAUUCCGUGGGACUACCCGUGGAAGCCACCCGCUGCACGAUCUUCGUGGACGAUGCUCUUUCAGCUAGGCAGAGGCG